AUCUUUGGGGUUACCGAUUACUUCACGAAAAGGGUGAAAGUUGUUUCAUAUGCCAAUGUUACUAAGUCGACAGUCAUCAAAUCCAGAAAAAAAAAGGUGCCAACAAAGAAUGCCAGAAAGGAUUAUGUCUAACACAACUGCACAAUGUCAAAAGUUUGCAGUCUGUUCAAAGAUUAGGCACCAUAUUGCAGUGCAGCAAAAAAAGAGAAAGAGAGAAAAAAACAACAAAAACAACAAACUAAGGAUCAUGGGGAAGAUGAGCGAGACUUGUAAAGAUCGGCAUAAGAAGUCACCAUUUACCCUCUAUGUUUAUCGA
rnacentral:lncRNA from 1 species